UGACAACCUGGUUGAUCCUGCCAGUAGUCAUAUGCUUGUCUCAAAGAUUAAGCCAUGCAUGUCUCAGUACAAGCCGAAUUAAGGUGAAACCGCGAAAGGCUCAUUAAAUCAGUUAUGGUUCCUUAGAUCGUACCCACAUUUACUUGGAUAACUGUGGUAAUUCUAGAGCUAAUACAUGCAAACAGAGCCCCGACCGGAGACGGAAGGGGCGCUUUUAUUAGAUCAAAACCAAUCGGUGGCGGGUCUCCCGUCACCGUACACCUUGGUGACUCUGAAUAACUUUUUGCUGAUCGCACGGUCUCGAACCGGCGACGCAUCUUUCAAAUGUCUGCCUUAUCAACUGUCGAUGGUAGGUUCUGCGCCUACCAUGGUUGUAACGGGUAACGGGGAAUCAGGGUUCGAUUCCGGAGAGGGAGCCUGAGAAACGGCUACCACAUCCAAGGAAGGCAGCAGGCGCGCAAAUUACCCACUCCCGGCACGGGGAGGUAGUGACGAAAAAUAACGAUACGGGACUCAUCCGAGGCCCCGUAAUCGGAAUGAGUACACUCUAAACCCUUUAACGAGGAUCAAUUGGAGGGCAAGUCUGGUGCCAGCAGCCGCGGUAAUUCCAGCUCCAAUAGCGUAUAUUAAAGUUGUUGCGGUUAAAAAGCUCGUAGUCGAAUUUGUGUCCCGCGCCGCCGGUUCAUCGCUCGCGGUGUCAACUGGCGUGUCCGCGGGACGUCCUGCCGGUGGGCUAAACCCCCUCGCGGGGCCGCCCAAUCUCAAUCCCACCGCGGUGCUCUUGACUGAGUGUCGAGGUGGGCCGGCACGUUUACUUUGAACAAAUUAGAGUGCUUAAAGCAGGCUAAAACAUCGCCUGAAUACUGUGUGCAUGGAAUAAUGGAAUAGGACCUCGGUUCUAUUUUGUUGGUUUUCGGAACCCCGAGGUAAUGAUUAAUAGGAACGGAUGGGGGCAUUCGUAUUGCGACGUUAGAGGUGAAAUUCUUGGAUCGUCGCAAGACGGACAGAAGCGAAAGCAUUUGCCAAAAACGCUUUCAUUGAUCAAGAACGAAAGUUAGAGGUUCGAAGGCGAUCA
rnacentral:rRNA from 1 species